rnacentral:rRNA from 1 species
UGGGGAAUAUUGCGCAAUGGGGGAAACCCUGACGCAGCGACGCCGCGUGUGGGAUGAAGGUCUUCGGAUUGUAAACCACUGUCGCGAGGGACGAAGCUCUGACGGUACCUCGAAAGGAAGCACCGGCUAACUCUGUGCCAGCAGCCGCGGUAAUACAGAGGGUGCGAGCGUUGUCCGGAAUCACUGGGCGUAAAGGGCGCGUAGGCGGCCCGGUAAGUAGGGGGUGAAAUCUCAUGGCUCAACUGUGAGGCUGCCUUCUAGACUGCCAGGCUUGAGCACAGUAGAGGCGAGUGGAAUUCCCGGUGUAGCGGCGGAAUGCGUAGAGAUCGGGAAGAACAUCGGUGGCGAAGGCGGCUCGCUGGGCUGUUGCUGACGCUGAGGCGCGAAAGCGUGGGGAGCAAACAGGAUUAGAUACCCUCGUAGUCCCUGAGCGGGCUGGCAAGGCGCAU